rnacentral:rRNA from 1 species
UACGAAGGGUGCAAGCGUUACUCGGAAUUACUGGGCGUAAAGCGUGCGUAGGUGGUUCGUUAAGUCUGAUGUGAAAGCCCUGGGCUCAACCUGGGAAUGGCAUUGGAUACUGGCGGACUGGAGUGCGGUAGAGGAUGGCGGAAUUCCCGGUGUAGUAGUGAAAUGCGUAGAGAUCGGGAGGAACAUCUGUGGCGAAGGCGGCCAUCUGGACCAGCACUGACACUGAGGCACGAAAGCGUGGGGAGCAAACAGG